UUGAAAUGUUUAUCCUCCACUGCCCAGAACAGGAGGGGAGUAAGCGGCCAUGGCUCGUGGGUAUAAGUGUGAGGCCGCCCUACACGCCAGUAGCACAUGACCACACAGCUUCCAGAAGCUGUGGCCCCUGUUGGUUUGCGGGGACUGUUUUCUCACACCUGACACCCUCAAGAAAGCAUGUCUGGCUUCUGCCUGUGGAACACUGCUCUUUGUAGAGUCUCCAGAGCUGAAGAAGAGCUACAUUACUACUGCCACCACAUAGCCGGCCUACCUAAGUGCCACUCGAUCAAAACGACUACUGCUUAGAGACACAAGGCUGUCCUGCAGGAACUGUGGCAGGGGUGGGGGUAGGAGGGGGGGAUGGGACCCCCUUCUUCUGUGACAUCUGAUCUCCGCCCCCAAUCCAGGCCAAAGCGGCAGAGACGCAUUUAAGGUGGACUGCACAAAAAUAGUGUUUUCCCAAUUAAAAGCUCUAAGGCUCUGUGCUCAUCUUAGCUCACGAUGCACCUCGCGAUACUUGACUGAGCGGACGAGACAGCUUGAGAACCGCUGUUACUGGUGUGCGAAGGUGGAGUCCUGCCUCACCAUGCAGCGCGGUGACUCAGAGAAACCGGAAAGGAUGGCAGCUGGGUUAGGACUUGAAAGAUGAGUAAGAAUCGGUAAGGUGAAGCGGGACAGAGGCCAGCACCCAGGUAAGGACAGCAUGGCUCCCCAGAGCGCCGGGGACCAGCUCAAUUAUGAGUGACCCACGUAAUUGACAGACAACUGAGCACAGAUUCCCUCUCUUUUCAAAGGGUGUCCUGUCGAGUCUUGGUUUCGGAUUUCCCCAUUUUCCAUGGCUGCCUCCAACCCAGACGUGUGCGGUGCCAACAGGAGACCUCUGUGGGUUCAGUGAGACCGCUCAGAGCAGGCUCCGGGCUAGA